AGCUUAUCUGUGAUGUAAAAAUAAAUGUCUGAACAUAUGAAUUCAGUAUUGAUUUCAGCAUGUAACUGAGAUAAGCU